rnacentral:lncRNA from 1 species
AUGACAGCCAAGCACUCUCAGGACUGGAGCUUCUUCCCAGCACCAACCAUCCACUGUUUCAAGCUUUUUAUUUGCUCCCCUGGUUUAAAUAUUGCUUUACUGGAGUUUGGAGUCUUAGCCUCUGGAAGUACACAUGUGAUUCAACUCUUUUGCUCACCAUAGAAGCCAGUUCAGUCCCUGGAGGUUGGAGUGCAGCUGGUCACCCUGGUUACCUUCCUACUGCUAUGUCUCUUCCUAACCCCACACCAUGGUGGCCUCCCCGUCUUCCUUGUGCUUUGCUGUGUCACCCUCCUGUCAAUAAACACUUGCAUUGGAAUGCCAGCCUCCAGCUUGAUCUGAGGGAGAAUUCACAAAAGGCCACUCCGAGCUGCAGGAAGCUGAAAAGAAGAAGGGCUUUAGUGGUGGGGCUGUGCCUAAGCGAGCUGUGCUCAAAAACGAUAUGGUAAUUAUUUUCUUCCAUUUAUCCCUUGGAAACCUCUUUCAUUCUUAUCUCUCUGGGCUUCCGUUUCCUCAUCAGUAACAUUGAAAUGGCCUAGUGAGGUGAAUUUGAAAUGAACCUAUGCAGGCAAAAAUCCCCUUGAAUUAAAUUUCCAUAGAAAUCUCAGUUGUCAUUGCUAUAGGGUUAUCUAUAUAUAGUUCCUAUAUGUGUUGGAUCAUUGCAUAGGAGAUUUUCUUUAAGCUUAUCCUCUCUCCUAUCUCUUUAUCUUUCUGUUAAUAGCCAGACAUCUUUAAUGUUUUCUCUAUUUGCCAAAUUCACACCCAUCCCUCUGAUAUUGAGGCUCUUCCUCCUUCUAGCUCCUGAAACCACUCUCAUUAGGGUUAUCAGUGACUCCCAUGUUAUUUAAUGCAAAGCUAGCUUUUGAGACCUUAUCACACACCACUUCUCACUGGGCCAUGCUAAUUAGCUCCCUUUUGGGAAUGCUCUUUAUCUUUAAACUAAUACUUUGUUUGUUUCCUUCUCACUUCUACAAUAUCUGCUUUUCAUUAACAGUUAUAGGAUCAUCUAUGGCUUUUCAUUCUGUAUUAGUCAGCUUUCUGGCAUUGUGAUGAAAUAUGAGACAAACCACUUAAUAGAAGGGCAUGCUUGUUUUGGCCCAUGAUUUCAGUCCAUGGUUCUUAAGCUCCGAGGUUCUUGGGUGAGUACCCAAGUACCCAAAUGAGGCAGAACAGUGUGAAAGGGAGGGUGAAGAAGGAAGUAGAGUAGAGUUGCUCACUGUGGCAGCUAGGAAGGAGAGACAGGAUAAGGAAGAUGAGGGCCAGAAACAGGAGGGGAGG